rnacentral:rRNA from 1 species
CGAAGGGGGCUAGCGUUGCUCGGAAUUACUGGGCGUAAAGGGAGCGUAGGCGGGUUAUCAAGGUUGGAGGUGAAAGCCCAGGGCUCAACUUUGGAAUUGCCUUCAAAACUGAUAGCCUAGAGUAUGAUAGAGGUAAGUGGAACUCCGAGUGUAGAGGUGAAAUUCGUAGAUAUUCGGAAGAACACCAGUGGCGAAGGCGACUUACUGGAUCAUGACUGACGCUGAGGCUCGAAAGCGUGGGGAGCAAACAGGAUUAGAUACCCUGGUAGUCCACGCUGUAAACGAUGAUUGCUAGUUGUCAGCCGGCAUGCCGGUUGGUGACGCAGCUAACGCAUUAAGCAAUCCGCCUGGGGAUACGGGUCGCAAGAUUAA